GACGAACGCUGGCGGCGUGCUUAACACAUGCAAGUCGAACGGAAAGGCCCUGCUUUUGUGGGGUGCUCGAGUGGCGAACGGGUGAGUAACACGUGAGUAACCUGCCCUUGACUUUGGGAUAACUCCAGGAAACUGGGGCUAAUAUCGGAUAGGAGCUCCUGCUGCAUGGUGGGGGUUGGAAAGUUUCGGCGGUUGGGGAUGGACUCGCGGCUUAUCAGCUUGUUGGUGGGGUAGUGGCUUACCAAGGCUUUGAAGGGUAGCCGGCCUGGGAGGGUGACCGGCCACAUUGGGACUGAGAUACGGCCCAGACUCCUACGGGAGGCAGCGGUGGGGAAUAUUGCACAGUGGGCGGAAGCCUGAUGCAGCAACGCCGCGUGCGGGAUGACGGCCUUCGGGUUGUAAACCGCUUUCGCCUGUGACGAAGCGUGAGUGACGGUAAUGGGUAAAGAAGCACCGGCUAACUACGUG
rnacentral:rRNA from 1 species